AUUGAACGCUGGCGGCAGGCCUAACACAUGCAAGUCGAACGAGUGGCGGACGGGUGAGUAAUGUCUGGGAAACUGCCUGAUGGAGGGGGAUAACUACUGGAAACGGUAGCUAAUACCGCAUACCAUCAGAUGUGCCCAGAUGGGAGUAGCUAGUUGGUGGGGUAACGGCUCACCAAGGCGACGAUCCCUAGCUGGUCUGAGAGGAUGACCAGCCAAACUGGAACUGAGCAACGGUCCAGACUCCUACGGGAGGCGGCGGUGGGGAAUAUUGCACAAGGGGGGCAAGCCUGAUACGGCCAGGCCGGGUGUAUGAAGAAGGCCUUCGGGUUGUAAAGUACUUUCAGCGGGGAGGCGUUACCCGCAGAAGAAGCACCGGCUAACUCCGUGCCAGCAGCCGCGGUAAUUC
rnacentral:rRNA from 1 species